rnacentral:rRNA from 1 species
AUUGAACGCUGGCGGCAGGCCUAACACAUGCAAGUCGAACGAGUGGCGGACGGGUGAGUAAUGUCCGGGAAACUGCCUGAUGGAGGGGGAUAACUACUGGAAAUGGUAGCUAAUACCGCAUACCAUCAGAUGUGCUCAGAUGGGCUUGGCUAGUUGGUGGGGUAACGGCUCACCAAGGCGACGAUCCCUAGCUGGUCUGAGAGGAUGACCGGCCACACUGGAACUGAGACACGGUCCAGGCUCCUACGGGAGGCAGCAAUGGGGAAUAUUGCACAGUGGGCGCAAGCCUGAUGCAGCCAUGCCGCGUGUAUGAAGAAGGCCUUCGGGUUGGAAAGUACUUUCAGCGGGGAGGCGUUACCCGCAGAAGAAGCACCGGCUAACUCCGUGCCAGCCGCCGCGGUAAUUC